AUUGAACGCUGGCGGCAGGCCUAACACAUGCAAGUCGGACGAGCGGCGGACGGGUGAGUAAUGUACGGGGAUCUGCCUGAUGGCGGGGGAUAACUACUGGAAACGGUAGCUAAUACCGCAUACCAUCAGAUGAACCUAUAUGGGAUUAGCUAGUAGGUAAGGUAACGGCUUACCUAGUCGACGCUCCCUAGCUGGUCUGAGAGGAUUAUCGGCCACACUGGGACUGAGACACGGCCCAGACUCCUACGGGAGGCAGCAGUGGGGAAUAUUGCACAAUGGGCGCAAGCCUGAUACAGCCAUGCCGCGUGUAUGAAGAAGGACUUCGGGUUGUAAAGUACUUUCAGUCGGGAGGCGUUACCGACAGAAGAAGCACCGGCUAACUCCGUGCCAGCAGCCGCGGUAAUUC
rnacentral:rRNA from 1 species